GGUGUGUGUGGUGCAGUGGUUAGCGUGUCAGACUAGGACACUGGGAGAGACCAGGGUUCGAAUCCCCACUCAGCCA